GCAGACACAUUCCAGCCAAUCAGCAGCAGACCCUCCCUCCCAGACCCUCCCACCUCCUGGACAGCUCACUAAGAAUGCAGCUUCACAAUGAAUGUAAAAUGGAUGCUGUCCAGGAGGUGGGAGGGUCUGGGAGGGAGGGCCUGCUGCUGAUUGGCUGGAAUGUGUAU
rnacentral:miRNA from 1 species